rnacentral:misc_RNA from 1 species
GUUUUUGUGUGAGCAGUUCCACUGGGGCUUUUUCCUCUGCCCGCACCAUCAAACACAGCUACCCCUACCGACACCCACACAGGCACUGGCUGCCAGUACCAGCGUAAGAGCGCGAGACAAGGAGAAUAAGACGCAGCGAAACUCGCGCCGAUCGACAAGAAGAUAAGCGACGAUACAAACACACGCACCCACGAGCAAGCAAAGGUACGCCAAACUCGCAUACGCGACGACGAAGAGCACCGCCAACAAAAAGGGGCAAGACACGCAGACGGACUCGGCCAUCUGCGCACACGAAGGCAGCACGGCAUCAACCGAAACAACGAACAAGCAGCGCAGCGAUAAAGUAAAACGAAGCGCUGCAGUGCAAGCUAGGAAAAGCGCCAGAAAACGAGAAGAAACGGCGGCAGCUCACCACGCAGCACACGUUGACGUGUGAAGGGAGAAAACACGAAUUUCUCUCUUCACUGGCAUACUUUAUUUAUACGCACACACACACACACACACAUCUAUAUACACUCAUUUAUAUCAACUCUCUCGGGAAAGACAACAAUACGCACCUUUGUUGUUGUCGCACAAGCACACACAACCGUUGUCGUCCUUCCCUCAUCGUGCUCGCCAUUGUGAAGUGAGCUCCUCUAGAUAUGCGCGCACAUAGGUCAUCAGCUCCGCCUAGCUCGGUUUUCGCCACCGCCUCCCCCCACUCCAAGUGUUGCGCACACGUUGUGUAAGUGUCUUGCCGUUUGAUCUUCGCCAGGGCCUCCUUCCACCCUUCCCUAGCCUCGCCUUUCCUUUUCUUGCCCAUCUCUGCCCCUUCGUGCGACAAGGAAGGAAAGCAAGGCGCCGAGCAGGGACAAAAAGAAAGGGGAGUAGCGCACGCCAUUUUGUUGCUUCUCUUGAGAAAAAAGAAAAAGACAUUUUUUUUUCGUAUGAUUUCCAUCCUGCUUGCUCCUGACUCCGUGAGUGUAUCUUUGAAUCCGCGCUUUUCUCACGCUCUCUCCUUAUAUUGUCGUUCGCGCCCUGCUAACCAUACGCGCGGCAAUCAUCAUCACCGUCCAUCCCCCCUCCUCUUCUCCAUCCGCACAGCUGCUGCCGCCGCCCUCCCCCGUCCUCUCUGGGUUCGCUGGCGUUGCUCCUCCGAUUCCCUUUUUUCUCGUUUCGCGGCCGUAGGCACCCGACAUUGGAAUCCACAUCGACGCUAGCACCCACCUUCGCCCUUCACGGCCCCAGGGCAAAGCGGCGCAACACGAAGGCAGCGGGGCAGUGACUGCUUGCACACUCGGCGUCUUGCCUUCGUCCUGCCCUUUCUCUGUUGUGUACCUUUGGACCGCUGCUUGCGGCGUCACUGUGAUCGGUGCCGUAACUGUGUGCCACAGACGGCCGUACGCCCUCCCACUUCGUCUUUCCUUUACCUCUGCACCCGCUUACUCCUUCCAUUAG